CCUACGGGUGGCAGCAGUAAGGAAUAUUGGUCAAUGGACGCAAGUCUGAACCAGCCAUGCCGCGUGGAGGAUUAAGGCCCUCUGGGUUGUAAACUCCUUUUAUCUGGGAAGAAAUGUACUUUUUCUUGAGUACUUGACGGUACCAGAGGAAUAAGCACCGGCUAACUCCGUGCCAGCAGCCGCGGUAAUACGGAGUGUGCAAGCGUUACUGGGAUUAACUGGGGCGUAGGGGGGCAGGGAUGGGCGGGGUGAAAGCUCCGGGCUUAACCCGGAAACUGCCGUUGAUACUAUUUGUCUUGAAUAUUGUGGAGGUAAGCGGAAUAUGUCAUGUAGCGGUGAAAUGCUUAGAUAUGACAUAGAACACCAAUUGCGAAGGCAGCUUACUACACAAUCAUUGACGCUGAGGCACGAAAGCGUGGGGAUCAAACAGGAUUAGAUACCCUGGUAGUC
rnacentral:rRNA from 1 species